rnacentral:rRNA from 1 species
AUUAGAUACCCUAUUAUUUUUAUUGUAAAAACAAUAAAACUAGAGUACUAUUAGAUAUAGUCUUUAAACUUAAAGAAUUUGGCGGUAUUAUAGUCUAUUUAGAGGAAUCUGUUAUGUAAUUGAUAAUCCACGUUGAACCUUACUUAUAAUUAAUUCUUGUAUAUCGCUGUUUAUGAAUAUAUUUUUAGAUAAUUUUCUAAAUAUUUAAUUAAUUAAUAUUUCAAGUCAAGGUGCAGUAAUAUUUAAGUUUAAUAAUGGAUUACAAUAAAUUUUAUUUAUUAUGAAUAGUUAUUGUAAUAUGUAAUUGAAGGUGGAUUUAAUUGUAAUUUUAUAAAGAUUAUUAAAAUGAUAAAAGCUCUAUAAUAUGUACACAUCGCCCG